UACGAAGGGGGCUAGCGUUGCUCGGAAUCACUGGGCGUAAAGCGCACGUAGGCGGCUUUCUAAGUCAGGGGUGAAAUCCUGGAGCUCAACUCCAGAACUGCCUUUGAUACUGGAGAGCUUGAGUCCGGGAGAGGUGAGUGGAACUCCGAGUGUAGAGGUGAAAUUCGUAGAUAUUCGGAAGGAACACCAGUGGCGAAGGCGGCUCACUGGCCCGGUACUGACGCUGAUGUGCGAAAGCGUGGGGAGCGAACAGG
rnacentral:rRNA from 1 species